GUUCUUACAGAGCACUGGAUAGCGCGUUGGACUUCUAAUUCAAAGGUUGUGGGUUCAAAUCCCACUUGGAAUG